UACAGAGGUCUCAAGCGUUGUUCGGAUUCAUUGGGCGUAAAGGGUGCGUAGGCGGCGCGGUAAGUCGGGUGUGAAAUCUCGGAGCUUAACUCCGAAACUGCACUCGAUACUGCCGUACUUGAGGACUGGAGAGGAGACUGGAAUUUACGGUGUAGCGGUGAAAUGCGUAGAUAUCGUAAGGAAGACCAGUGGCGAAGGCGGGUCUCUGGACAGUUCCUGACGCUGAGGCACGAAGGUCGGGGGAGCAAACGGG
rnacentral:rRNA from 1 species